CCACAAAGGGUGCUGUUGCCUAGUGAUGCACAAACACCACUCAAUGGCUCAUCUUCACAACCAGGGAGUGUCAGCCCCGUGUCGCCUCUGGGGUAGGGCGAGCACAGAUACACAGGCCCGCUCCGUGUCCCCGAGUUCUCACAGUUGGAGACACAGCAGCGCACGGGAAAAGAACAGCAGAGGGUGGCGUGAGCAUCCUCUCAAGGAAACCGCCUCUGCAACAUUCCAGGAUGCGAGAGCCACGCCCUCGGUCUGACUGCUGAUUGGCGGUGGCGUGAGUCAGGGGAAAGGGCACCGGACGGGCAGUCUGGAGAUGCGGGACUCUGCGCCUUGAUCUACAGCAGAGCCAGAUCAGCCAAAGAGUCUCACUCUGACUGUUACUGAGACCAUACCAGAAGAAGAUGCUGGCAUGGGAAUCCCCUGGGAAAAAAGAACUUUCAUUGUCAAAGGAAAUGCAGCAAAGGGAGCUUCCUCCUCCCUGUAAGGAGAUGAUGCGUCUGGACUCCGAGGAAACUGUCAUUCAAACCAGAACUAAGAAGCAACUGUUCUGCCAUCUUCACAGUAAGCUCUCCCCAUGACAAAGAGGAAAGACCCCCAGGGUUUCAGUUUGGGAGUCUGAAGACUGACUAGUUACUUGAUUAGCCUGAAGCUUAGAGUCCUCACAAUAUGGGGAUAUUAAUAUUUUCUCUUUUCCUAGGGGGUUGAUGUGAGGGUAAAGUGAGUAAUGUAUAUGAUCAUACUCUAUUAACUGCAAAUCACUCUACAAAUAGGAGUUUAUUACUUUGUCUUGCCUCCCUAUUUUCUUGUCCUGAACUCUCAUUCAUUUGCUUAGCAACUGAUACUGAUUACUUAAAAAAAAUUUUGUCAGCACCAGAUCUUAGUUGCAGCACACAGGAUCUUCAAUCUUAAUUGUGGCAUGUGGGAUGUAGUUCCCUGAACAGGGACUGAACCCAGAUCUCCUGCACUGGGAGCAUGGAGUCUUAGCCACUGGACCACCCGGGAAAUCCCAGACAAGUGUUUUUAAAAAGAAUAUUUUAUAGAGAAUGAAUGGGUAGAAGUAAGAAUAGACUGAAGGAGACCAGACUAGACACUCCCGUGGGAAGCCAGACCAGUGAAAAUGGUGGCUUGGGUCAUGAUAUUGGCUGUGAAAAGGGAGAAGAAGUUGAUAGAUCUGAGAAAUAUUUAGGAAGCUGAGUCGAUAGAAUCUGGCAUUUGAACAGAUGUGUUGAGGGUAGGGGAAGAGCUGUUUAUAGACCUAGGGACAUUCUUGGAGGAGCAAGUGUGGAGGGGAGAACGAUGAGUUUGGUGUUCAGAAGUACAACUUCAGGUACUUGGACCAUCCAAGUGGCUGCAUGUAUUAGAGAAUUGGAUAUAUAAAAGUGGAGAAUAGAGAAGUUUGGACCGGUAGAAAUUUAGGAAUCAUUUAAACACAGAGUGAAGCCAUAAGCUAUAGUGAUCACUAGAGGGUAGCAUUGGAAGGAAAAGAAGACUUAGGACCAAGCUUUAGGAAAUUACAAUAUUGAAUGUUGGGGUUGAAAGAGGUCAGUUGGUUAAGGACUGCCAAAAAAGGGAGACACAGAAUGUGAACAACCUUUCAUGCAAAGGACAAAAGGAAGGAAAACUACUAUUUCAUGACUAUCUUCUAUGUCCUGGGAGUUUUCACAUACGUUAUCUGACUUUAUUCUCACGUAAACCCCAUGAGUCAGUAAGCGUUCCUAUCUUCACUUUCCCACUGAGAAAAUAGAUGUUCAGAGAAGUCGAAUAAUUUACUUAGGGCCACACAACUUAUAAGCAGUAGUCUCCUCCAGUCUCCCUCCCAUGUGGGAGGAUCUGGGUGAGUGCCUUGUCAGGUGGUGCAUUUGGUGGAAAGAACAGGGCUGGAAUCCCCUUUAUUCAGCACUCUAGUGCCAAGGUUGUAAGCCAAAACAUAGAAAGGGUAGUCCAAAAACCAAAGCCAAGUGCAACAAGAAAACAGUUCAAGAGCCAAAUGGUCCAUUCAGAAGUCAGGUUGCCAAAGCCAAAACCUCACCCAGUAAUUGGUUCAAAAGCCAAGUUAAUCACAAGCAGUAGAACUUGGUCAAAGAGAGGGCUGAGGAAGGUCAGGAAACUUCAGAAGUGGGGAAGCCACCAGCUAAGCUUCAGGCUUCCAGCUGAGCUAGCAUUUGGGUACUGGGGAUUUGAAGAUGGGGAGGAGGUGAGGAGACAGGUUUUGUAGAAUUGAAGAACUGAGCAAAUAGAAAAUAAUGUGACUGGAAAUGUUUUGUGGAAAGAUUCUUCUGGUGACUCUGUGAAGAAGGGCCUUAAGAUGGGAGAAUAAGGACAAGUCAGGCCCAAUGCAUAGAUUCAACUCCCCUCUGCAGAAUGAACAGGGGUAGGACACUGGCUUGUUCCCUGGACUUGAGAAAUUAUACUUGAUUUGUAUCCUAGAGGAAAAAAAAAUAUGACAACCCAAAAGUGGAAUGCCAAAUGUAGACCUGGUUUGUCCAGGAUACUUAAGGAAGCAGAGCUGUUGGGCAAGCCAAGCCAGGACACAUGUAUGUCUUAAGGGCUUUCUUAAAAAUGAGUCUUCUCAUUGGUACAGUACUUUAUAAUCAGCAGUAGCAUUUGAACUUCACAACCACUUUAAAACCAAUGGCUUUAAAUAGAUGAGAAAACUAAGGCUAGGGCAAGGUAAAUUGUGUGCCAAAAUUCACACAGUUGGGUGGAAAUCAGAACUGUAGCUCGAGUCCAGGUUUUGUUCUAUGCAAAUUCUGUGUCUUUCUCUGUAAAAGAAAAGAGAUUGGUCAGGGAAGGCUUCACAGAGGAGGCAAGGGCAGGGUACCAAGUACAGAAGAGUAACAGGCAAAGGCACAAAGGUGCAACAUGGAACAGCCAGAAGGCAACAAAACCUGGUUUCUAGUAUUGUAAGGGCCUUGAGGACCAGAAGUGCCAGUUCCUAGAAUGAGGCCUGGGGUUUAUCAGGCGCUUGCUGUUGUUUGUUGUUCAGUCACCCAGUUAUGUUCGACUCUUUGCAACCCCAUGAACUGCAGCAUGCCAGGCCUCCCUGUGCCUCACCACCUCCCAGAGUUUGCCCAAGUUCAUGUCCAUUGCAUCAGGGAUGCCAUACAGACAUCUCAUCCUCUGAUGCCCUCUUUCCCUUCUGCCCUCAAUCUUUUCCAGCAUCAGGGACUUUUCCAAUGAGUCAGCUGUUUGCAUCAGGUGACCAAACUACUGGAGCUUCAGCAUCAGUCCUUCCAAUGAGUAUUCAGGAUUGAUUUCCUUGGAGACUGACUGGUUUGAAUUCCUUUUUGUCCAAAGGACUCUUAGGAGUCGUCCCCAGCACCACAGUUAGAAGGCAUCAAUUCUUUGGUGCUCUGCCUUCUUUAUAGUCCAGCUCUCACAAACAAAUGUGACCACUGGGAAGACCAUAGCCUUGACUAUACAGACAUUUGUUGGCAGAGUGAUGUCUCUGCUUUUCUGUUCAAAGGAAUGAAUGUCUAGAAUAUAGAUUCUCUAUAGGAGAGUAGCUGGAAGUGAGGCUGGGAAGUGGCAGGAGUCAGAAGAUGGAGAGGCUUUAAUACAAUAUGGAAGGCUGGUGUUGGAGGAGGAGAGGGGACCAGAGUGCAUGUGCAGAAAGGAUGCUAAGAGAGAAUCAUCUGGAAGGUGGUUCCAGGAGAGAGAAAAGGAAGGCCAGAAGUAAACCAGGGCAGGGAGAGGAAAAGACAGUCAAGAAGAAUUUCUGCGUUAGAAUGCCUGGCAACACCCUGAAGGGGAGGGGGGUGACAUGUAGGGGUCUGGAGGCAGAAAGGCAGGAGCAGGAGAGAGAGAGAGAGAGAGAGAGAGAGAGAGAGAGAGAGAGGAUGCUGGCUGUGGAGGAAACAGGUGUGGGCAGUGGAUACCCCGCAUCCUCCAGCAGCUAGGCUGCAACCUCAACAGUCACUCCGGAGGCUGCAGGCCAGAGAAGGAGGGGCCUCUCGGACUGGAGAAGUCAUUAGCAACCUGCCAGAACCGGGUUAACAAAGGCAGGACUACAACUCCCAGCAUGCCCCGCCCCAGUGGGGUGACGGCGGGCGGUGGCUGCGCUGCACCCGCUUGGUGGGCGCAGGACCUGGGUCGGCACCGGAGCCUGUCAUUCCGGAGGGGGGCGGUCUGCGUGGCGGGG
ensembl:lncRNA